UACGGAGGAUGCGAGCGUUAUCCGGAUUUAUUGGGUUUAAAGGGUGCGUAGGCGGACUGUCAAGUCAGCGGUAAAAUUGAGAGGCUCAACCUCUUCCCGCCGUUGAAACUGGUGGUCUUGAGUGGAUGAGAAGUACGCGGAAUGCGUGGUGUAGCGGUGAGAUGCAUAGAUAUCACGCAGAACUCCGAUUGCGAAGGCGGCGUACCGGCAUCCAACUGACGCUGAGGCACGAAAGCGUGGGGAUCAAACAGG
rnacentral:rRNA from 1 species